rnacentral:rRNA from 1 species
CGUUUUUGAAGCUUGCUUCAAAAACGUUAGCGGCGGACGGGUGAGUAACACGUGGGCAACCUACCUUAUCGACUGGGAUAACUCCGGGAAACCGGGGCUAAUACCGGAUAACAUCUAGCACCUCCUGGUGCCGGAUUAAAAGAGGGCUUCUUGCUCUCACGAUGAGAUGGGCCCGCGGCGCAUUAGCUAGUUGGAGAGGUAACGGCUCCCCAAGGCGACGAUGCGUAGCCGACCUGAGAGGGUGAUCGGCCACACUGGGACUGAGACACGGCCCAGACUCCUACGGGAGGCAGCAGUAGGGAAUCUUCCGCAAUGGACGAAAGUCUGACGGAGCAACGCCGCGUGAGUGAUGAAGGGUUUCGGCUCGUAAAGCUCUGUUAUGAGGGAAGAACACGUACCGUUCGAAUAGGGCGGUACCUUGACGGUACCUCAUCAGAAAGCCACGGCUAACUACGUGCCAGCAGCCGCGGUAAUACGUAGGUGGCAAGCGUUGUCCGGAAUUAUUGGGCGUAAAGCGCGCGCAGGCGGCCUUUUAAGUCUGAUGUGAAAUCUUGCGGCUCAACCGCAAGCGGCCAUUGGAAACUGGGAGGCUUGAGUACAGAAGAGGAGAGUGGAAUUCCACGUGUAGCGGUGAAAUGCG